rnacentral:rRNA from 1 species
AGUGAACGCUGGCGGUAGGCCUAACACAUGCAAGUCGAACGGCAGCACAGUAAGAGCUUGCUCUUACGGGUGGCGAGUGGCGGACGGGUGAGGAAUACAUCGGAAUCUACUUUUUCGUGGGGGAUAACGUGGGGAAACUUACGCUAAUACCGCAUACGACCUACGGGUGAAAGCAGGGGAUCUUCGGACCUUGCGCGAUUGAAUGAGCCGAUGUCGGAUUAGCUAGUUGGCGGGGUAAAGGCCCGCCAAGGCGACGAUCCGUAGCUGGUCUGAGAGGAUGAUCAGCCAUACUGGAACUGAGACACGGUCCAGACUCCUACGGGAGGCAGCAGUGGGGAAUAUUGGACAAUGGGCGCAAGCCUGAUCCAGCCAUACCGCGUGGGUGAAGAAGGUCUUCGGGUCGUAAAGCCCUUUUGUUGGGAAAGAAAAGCAGCAGGUUAAUACCCCGCUGUUCUGACGGUACCCAAAGAAUAAGCACCGGCUAACUUCGUG